AGUGGCGGACGGGUGAGUAACGCGUGAGAAUCUGCCUUGGGGUCGGGGACAACCACUGGAAACGGUGGCUAAUACCGGAUAAGCCGAUUGGUGAAAGAUUUAUUGCCCGAAGAGGAGCUCGCGUCUGAUUAGCUAGUUGGUGAGGUAAGAGCUCACCAAGGCAGCGAUCAGUAGCUGGUCUGAGAGGACGAUCAGCCACACUGGGACUGAGACACGGCCCAGACUCCUACGGGAGGCAGCAGUGGGGAAUUUUCCGCAAUGGGCGAAAGCCUGACGGAGCAAGACCGCGUGAGGGAGGAAGGCUCUUGGGUUGUAAACCUCUUUUCUCAGGGAAGAAGCUCUGACGGUACCUAAGGAAUCAGCCUCGGCUAACUCCGUGCCAGCAGCCGCGGUAAUACGGAGGAGGCAAGCGUUAUCCGGAAUUAUUGGGCGUAAAGCGUCCGCAGGUGGCGAUUCAAGUCUGCUGUCAAAGCACGGGGCUUAACUCCGUAAAGGCAGUGGAAACUGAAUAGCUAGAGUGCCGUAGGGGUAGAGGGAAUUCCCGGUGUAGCGGUGAAAUGCGUAGAGAUCGGGAAGAACAUCGGUGGCGAAAGCGCUCUACUGGACGGCAACUGACACUCAGGGACGAAAGCUAGGGGAGCGAAUGGGAUUAGAUACCCC
rnacentral:rRNA from 1 species